GACGAACGCUGGCGGCGUGCUUAACACAUGCAAGUCGAGCGGUAAGGCCCUUUCGGGGGUACACGAGCGGCGAACGGGUGAGUAACACGUGGGUGACCUGCCCUCAGCUCUGGGAUAAGCCUGGGAAACCGGGUCUAAUACCGGAUAUGACUCCAUGACGCAUGUUGUGGGGUGGAAAGCCUUGUGCGGCUGAGGAUGGGCCCGCGGCCCAUCAGCUUGUUGGUGGGGUGANGGCCUACCAAGGCGACGACGGGUAGCCGGCCUGAGAGGGCGACCGGCCACACUGGGACUGAGACACGGCCCAGACUCCUACGGGAGGCAGCAGUGGGGAAUCUUGCGCAAUGGGCGAAAGCCUGACGCAGCGACGCCGCGUGAGGGAUGACGGCCU
rnacentral:rRNA from 1 species